CAGUAGCCGCGGUAACACGAAGGGUGCAAGCGUUAAUCGGAAUUACUGGGCGUAAAGCGUGCGUAGGCGGUGAGUUAAGUCUGCUGUGAAAUCCCCGGGCUCAACCUGGGAAUGGCAGUGGAUACUGGCUCGCUAGAGUGUGUCAGAGGAUGGUGGAAUUCCCGGUGUAGCGGUGAAAUGCGUAGAGAUCGGGAGGAACAUCAGUGGCAAAGGCGGCCAUCUGGGACAACACUGACGCUGAGGCACGAAAGCGUGGGGAGCAAACAGGAUUAGAUACCCCAGUAGUCCCUGUCUCUUAUAC
rnacentral:rRNA from 1 species